GUUGGUAUUGAUUGUCGUGUGGGUCCACCUGUUCCCAUCCCGAACACAGAAGUUAAGCACACGUACGCCGACGAUAGUUGCCGGGUGACUGGCCGUGAAAAUAGGUAAUGCCAACA
rnacentral:rRNA from 2 species